rnacentral:tRNA from 1 species
GGGGUUGUGGCUUAGUGGUAGAGUGCUUGCCUAGCAUGUGUGAGGCACUGGGUUCGAUUCCCAGCACCA